rnacentral:lncRNA from 1 species
AACUUGUCUAAGUGUCUAGUUCUAAUUCUAACAUUGAUCUCUAGUAGUUAUGCAUGGAUUUGUGAUCUAAAACUCUAGAUUAAUUCACUUACAGACUCACUUUCAGAUUUACUAUUUGUAGGCAGUUUCUAAUACUUCUUGGGCUUCUAAUAGUUCACAUAUUACUUAACUAAUAUGUUCUAAGAGUCUAAUACAACCCCUGAAUCCUAAUUCUCCAAUUCACUACUCUAUUUCCUCAUUUUUGGUCUUGAACAUUAUAAUGGCAUCUGUUAUUGACUUAACUAGUUACUAGAAUUGAUAUUGCUAUUCCUAAGUACUCACUUGCCCAUCAUAUACCUAAUCAUACAGACUCCCAAUUGAUCACAUAUCAGACCACAAAAUCCCCAAUUCAGCAGCGCACAAUCCAGUACAUACGUUCAUUGAUUUAGUCACACAAUACAACAUACCCAACUCAAUUCCACAUGCAUUCAAAUCAAAUAACUUUUCAUAUAACUAAUUCAUAUAAAUUAACAUUCAACAAUCAGAAAUUAAAAACAUCUAGCUCCCCUUACCUUGCAAAAAGAGUCACAGCUCACAGGAUAAUUUAGGUAGACACCUUGCACCCUAGAAACUUGACAGUACCUAUAAAUCCCUAAUUUGGAGAUAGAUUCAGUUUUUUAGAAUAUGAUGGAAGCUAGAAUUUGAAAGAAACUCAAGGAUUUUAACAUGCAACAAGAUUUAUUGUAUGAACACCACUUAGGAACCCUAUGGGAUAAUGGAAUUAACUUACCAGUAGCAAACAGAAAACUGAUCAGGAAUAAGUUGUCUUUGAAGCUUAGAUGAACUAGGAAGCUGUUAAUAGAGAGUUUGUUGGUCAGAUUUUUGGAAGCAAAAUGGAGAGAUAUCAGAUUCAAAGAGAAGAGAAAGUUGAAAUGGGUGAAAAUGCUUUUCAGAUAGAGGAAGAGUUAAACUUGAAGUGGUUUUUAUUUUGUAAAAAUUGCUCAGUCCUUCAUUUGCUGCCACGUGUGAACCCCAACCCCUUUCUUUUCUAAUUAACACUUUCAGGUUAUUACAUUCUCCCCUACAUCAAAAAUUUUCGACCCAAAAAUUUAGAAUUACCAGAUAGAAUACUCCCCAACGACCCGACUAAUAUAAUAAAAAAAAUCAUGCCUUUGUGUUAAAAUGUUCUAGUGUUAAGUAAUGUAGCUUGGUUUAGCCAUUAGCCUCCAGACAAAUCUCAACCUCUAAGCCUCAGCUUUUAAGAACCUUGCCUUCACAUAACCAACCCUAUGAUGUUUGCAGUAUCGCCAACCCCUCAUGUAUCUUCUGCUCCUCCUUGUAAAUCUCUUCUAGAACCUCCACUAGUCUUCACUUCAGAUCAACCCUUGACUGAUACUCUUUUACCUCCUUUUGUUUCUUCCAAGAACCAUCAUACCCCUGACUUGAUUGCCACAACUUCUGUUUUUAACUGCUAACUGUUAUGCUCUUGAUCACCUACCCUCAC